rnacentral:rRNA from 1 species
GAGUGAACGCUGGCGGUAGGCCUAACACAUGCAAGUCGAACGGCAGCACAGUAAGAGCUUGCUCUUACGGGUGGCGAGUGGCGGACGGGUGAGGAAUACAUCGGAAUCUACUUUUUCGUGGGGGAUAACGUAGGGAAAUUUACGCUAAUACCGCAUACGACCUACGGGUGAAAGCAGGGGAUCUUCGGACCUUGCGCGAUUGAAUGAGCCGAUGUCGGAUUAGCUAGUUGGCGGGGUAAAGGCCCACCAAGGCGACGAUCCGUAGCUGGUCUGAGAGGAUGAUCAGCCACACUGGAACUGAGACACGGUCCAGACUCCUACGGGAGGCAGCAGUGGGGAAUAUUGGACAAUGGGCGCAAGCCUGAUCCAGCCAUACCGCGUGGGUGAAGAAGGCCUUCGGGUUGUAAAGCCCUUUUGUUGGGAAAGAAAAGCAGCAGGUUAAUACCCCGCUGUUCUGACGGUACCCAAAGAAUAAGCACCGGCUAACUUCGUG